UAACCGAUGCAGAGCGAGAUGAAAGGUUUGGGUGCUGGGAGACAUUUUGUAGUAUUCACCAGGUGCUCACGCAAAAACCCAGAAACCAGGCAGAGGCUUUGGGAGGCCCCAGUCAUGUCUCAUUGGCAAAAUGUAUUCCCAUGAGGCUCAUGCAACUCAAACUCAGCUGCCCCACGGCAUUGCUGCACAAAGAGGAGAGGCUCCAGCCACACAGCUUGUAAUGUCAAAGAUGGAUACUAGCACAGUGGACAUACUGAUGUUAUGAAUGAAUUAACCAAGGAACAUAAUCCUUCAUUGCCAACUGAGAGCAAAUCCUUGAAGUUUAGUGCUAUUACAUUUAAAAUAUUUCAGUUGGAUCUCAAACCAAGAUGUGCAGAAGAAUUGUUACCACUGAAGGAGCUGGAUUUUUUUAUCAAGGAGGAGUCUCAUGAUUCCCUUGCUCUAGGGAAAUUUAAAUGAAGAAACAUUCAGUUUGGAGGUUUGCCUAUUCUACUUGGAAAAUGUAAAAAAAAAAAAAAAAAAA